UCUUCAGAGGUGGAGCUUGAGUGUUACAUCAUCAUCCUUUACGCCAGAGAUAUUGACAUCACCACUUUCUGCUACACUUAACCACGAAUGUCACAGGUCUCACAGACUGGAGUGGAAGAAAGGACAUUUAUAAGAUGGAAAUGGAAACUCAGCAAAUCCCGAUGAUGGUUUCUGUUAAUGUCGUGCAGAGGACGCCGAAGGGCAAAAAAAACACCUCCCGUGGGCUUGUGCAGGACAAAGAACGAGACAGACGUCUGCUUUUAGAAACUAGUUCACUUCAAUAUUCUCGCUCACAGAAUAUUCUCCAACAUUUGUGCUGCUCUUCUGUUCUACGGUUUGAGGUGCUGAAAUGUGAACCAGUUUGCUUGUAUUGCAGUAACUGCCUGCAUCAACCGAACGAAUAAUAACUGAAAUGAACUACAAUCAGCUCCUGAGACGAGUAAACAUCAAAUUUCAGCUGACUUUCCUGCCUUUGACACGACUGGCCCGACUCCGUAUUUUAGUUUCCGUAGUUUGUUAUGGCGUUUACAGUAUGUGUGUUAAACUCAUAAAUACAAGCUUUCUGACAUGACUUAAACACAACAUUCAUUCUCAUUUUCUACCGCUUAUCCGAACUUCUCGGGUCACGGGGAGCCUGUGCCUAUCUCAGGCAUCAUCGGGCAUCAAGGCAGGAUACACCCUGGACGGAGUGCCAACCCAUCACAGGGCAGACACACACUGUCAUUCACUCACACACUAAG